UGAGGAAUAUUGGUCAAUGGACGAGAGUCUGAACCAGCCAAGUAGCGUGAAGGAUGACUGCCCUAUGGGUUGUAAACUUCUUUUAUACGGGAAUAAAGUUCAGCACGUGUGCUGUUUUGUAUGUACCGUAUGAAUAAGGAUCGGCUAACUCCGUGCCAGCAGCCGCGGUAAUACGGAGGAUCCGAGCGUUAUCCGGAUUUAUUGGGUUUAAAGGGAGCGUAGGCGGAUGCUUAAGUCAGUUGUGAAAGUUUGCGGCUCAACCGUAAAAUUGCAGUUGAUACUGGGUGUCUUGAGUACAGUAGAGGUAGGGGGAAUUCGUGGUGUAGCGGUGAAAUGCUUAGAUAUCACGCAGAACUCCGAUUGCGAAGGCAGCAUACCGGCGCCCGCACUGACGCUGAGGCACGAAAGCGUGGGGGAUCGAACAGGAUUAGAUACC
rnacentral:rRNA from 1 species